rnacentral:rRNA from 1 species
UACGGAGGGUGCAAGCGUUAUUCGGAAUUAUUGGGCGUAAAGGGCGCGUAGGCGGCCAUGCGUGUCUUCCGUGAAAUCCCUCGGCUUAACUGAGGACGUGCGGAAGAAACUGCAAGGCUCGAGUCCGGGAGAGGGGGGUGGAAUUCCCAGUGUAGCGGUGAAAUGCGUAGAUAUUGGGAGGAACACCGGUGGCGAAGGCGGCCCCCUGGACCGGUACUGAGCGCGUGAGGCGCGAAAAGCGGUGGGUAGCAAACGGG